rnacentral:rRNA from 1 species
CACGUAGGGCGCAAGCGUUGUCCGGAAUUAUUGGGCGUAAAGAGCUCGUAGGCGGCUUGUCGCGUCGGUUGUGAAAGCCCGGGGCUUAACCCCGGGUCUGCAGUCGAUACGGGCAGGCUAGAGUUCGGUAGGGGAGAGUCGGAAUUCCUGGUGGUAGCGGUGGAAAUGCGCAGAGUAUCAGGAGGAACACCGGUGGCGAAGGCGGAUCUCUGGGCCGAUACUGACGCUGAGGAGCGAAAGCGUGGGGGAGCGAACAGG